rnacentral:sRNA from 12 species
UCCUGACAGUCUUAGGACUGACACUAGCCAAGACAGGAGAUAAUAAUG